GGACCUCUAAUCGGAAAAGACC
rnacentral:rRNA from 1 species